CGCGCAGGCGGUUUGUUAAGUCAGAUGUGAAAGCCCAUGGCUCAACCAUGGACGUGCAUUUGAAACUGGCAAGCUUGAGUAGUGGAGGGGUGGUGGAAUUCCCGGUGUAGAGGUGAAAUUCGUAGAUAUCGGGAGGAAUACCGGUGGCGAAGGCGACCACCUGGCCACAUACUGACGCUGAGGCGCGAAAGCGUGGGGAGCAAACA
rnacentral:rRNA from 1 species